CCCAGGAGGACACCUGACAUCACAAAGCCCCAGAGGCAGGAAUGAGGUUGAUCUACAGGGAGCUAUGAGGAGUUAAAGCCUGAAGGCAGCAAGACAGAGAGACCAGGGCCAAGGGGCAAAUGCAAAACGCUGCUCUCCGGGCCAGCGCAGCCUGGGGAGGUUCUGAGUGGUCAUCAUGUGGCCCUUCCGCUCUCCCCGCAACUUUCAGGGGUGCUGCUGGCUGUCGGCUUGGCAACUGCGCUGCUGACAGGCCUGGGCCUUGUGCUGAGCCCCCCGCUGGCCCAGACCUGCCCAGUCAGAGCUUGGAGACUCCGGGGGAGGGGCCUCAGGGAGCCUCACGUGCCUGCUGACUGCGUGCCUCUCGGGGACAGCCUUACCGUCCGUGAAGACCUCGGUCCUCAGGGCUCUGGGGAAGGAGCCAGCUGCAGGCAGAGAGCCGUUCCCCGGGACACAGGGGAGCCACACCCUGUGAACACCCUAGAGGACUUCAGCGUCCGCACACUCUAUGACAAGCUUGAGGACCAGAGCCUGCACUUGGUGGCCCAGCUGAGCAAGCACAGGAGCGACGCACUGGCCUUCUACAGGGGCGCCAGCCAGCAACUCCAGGGGCUCAAGGACUUUCUGCAGGGCGUCAGCAUGACCGAGCGGCAAGAUCUGGGCAGAGGUGGAGACCUGGAGAUGGGAGCCAAAGCCACUGCCAGGACAGACACUGGGCAGAGAGAGGAAUGGUGCAGUGGUCACACUGCAGCUUCUCCAAGGGUGCGCUGGCAGCAUCCUCUAGUGCAGAAAGUAUAUAAAUGGGAAGCUGGAAUCCACUUGCCCCGGGAGCCUGGCAGCCCCACAGGUGACUCUAGAGCUUUUCCUGGUUGUCGAGGCUUCUUCCUGCAGGACGUGGGGGUUGAGCUUCACUGCAGGGAAGCACGUGUUCAGUGCCCAUUGGGGCUCCCAAAGUGUGGCAGGACGGGGAUGGUGUGGAAGGACAUCCCUGGCCGCCUGCAUGCUUUCUGGCUUCAGCCAAACUCAAAGAUUACAGAGUCCAAAACCACGCAUCACCCUGGGCAGUUCUGGCGGACGACAGCUGUGGGUGUGCAGGCCCCCAGCUACCCCUAAAUGGCCCUCAUGUCCACAUGUUUGGGCCACAGAACAAAGCACAGCUCCGACUGCCAUUGAGGGUGACCCUGCCUUCAUGUUGUAAGUGGUCUGAGUCCGUCACCCCACUUUGCUUCUGGCCCCUCUCCCACCCUGUGAGUGCCCAGCAGGGGCCAGCCUGGGGAGGGAAGGGCGUCCGCAGCUGCUGUGUGCAAGGCCGUGUCAUAGUCCCCGCAGGCAGGGAAGUCCAGGACUUAGGGCUCUGUGGUCCCCUCACCCAGCAACUCUGACCAGCCAGUCCCACCCUCAGCUCUCGCUGGCAGUGGCUGCACGCUGCCGGAGACUCUGCAAGCCCCUCCUGUGCUCUGAGACAGGGGGAGUGUUCGUGCCUCCCUGGCCAGGAUCUGUGGGCGCUCGAGGAGGCUGUUCCCUUCUAGGAACAAACAGCCGUGGGCUCAGCAAGGACUCCCCAGCCCCAUAGCGUGAUCCGUGAAGGCCUAACCUCAAGGCAGGAAAAUCCAAGGUCGUUGCCGCAGGUCAUCCAUGUUUGAAUCCACACCUCAGCAUAAAAACAGCUGAUCUUCCGUCUCCUGGAGCAGCUUGUCAGACAGCAGAUUGUUGGCUUCUUAGAAACCAGUG
ensembl:lncRNA